rnacentral:rRNA from 1 species
GACGAACGCUGGCGGCGUGCCUAAUACAUGCAAGUCGAGCGAAUCUUGAGGUGCUUGCACCUCUUGGUUAGCGGCGGACGGGUGAGUAACACGUGGGCAACCUGCCUGUAAGACUGGGAUAACUUCGGGAAACCGGAGCUAAUACCGGAUAAUCCUUUUCCUCUCAUGAGGAAAAGCUGAAAGUCGGUUUACGCUGACACUUACAGAUGGGCCCGCGGCGCAUUAGCUAGUUGGUGAGGUAACGGCUCACCAAGGCGACGAUGCGUAGCCGACCUGAGAGGGUGAUCGGCCACACUGGGACUGAGACACGGCCCAGACUCCUACGGGAGGCAGCAGUAGGGAAUCUUCCGCAAUGGACGAAAGUCUGACGGAGCAACGCCGCGUGAGCGAUGAAGGCCUUCGGGUCGUAAAGCUCUGUUGUUAGGGAAGAACAAGUAUCGGAGUAACUGCCGGUACCUUGACGGUACCUAACCAGAAAGCCACGGCUAACUACGUGCCAGCAGCCGCCGUAAUAC